rnacentral:lncRNA from 1 species
ACUCGCGGCGGGGCUGCUGGGUCUUCCAGGAGCGCGCUUGAGCGGACGCUGCCUACCGGUGGCCGGGCGGGAUGUAACCCGCUGCUGAGCUGGCAGCUCUGUGUCGCUAGGCUUCGGCCCGGCCGCCGCCGCACAUAAGCUGCGAGGAGGAGCUUUACGACUUCCCGGUCUUCGGGGCCGGGCGCAGCAAGGGCCAGACUCUGCGCUAGCAGGCGCUGCGCGCCAACCGGCCGGCACCUGUCGCAGAAGGUGCAACCGAUCGCACUGUCGCGCCGAAGCUCCUCAAUGGCCAGCGCCAGCUGCAGCCCCGGCCGCCCACUCGCCUCACCUGAGCCUGGGAGCUUGAAAAAUCACAUUUGAGAAGAGGAUUGGAUCCUAGCCAUAACAUAAAUAUAAGGGUGGAACCAAAGUUUUAAUCAAAGAAGGUGGUGUUCAGUUGCUGCUUACAAUAGUUGAUACCCCAGGAUUUGGAGAUGCAGUGGAUAACAGUAAUUGCUGGCAGCCUGUUAUCAAUUACAUUGAUAUUAAAUUUGAGGACUACCUAAAUGCAGAAUCGCGAGUGAACAGAUGUCAGAUGCCUGGUAACAGGGUGCAGUGUUGUUUAUACUUCAUUGCUCCUUCAGGACAUGGACCAUUACAUAACUGAAGACUCCCACCUUCAGGCAGGAUUGGGUAGUACGUGUUUGUAACUACCUGGCAUUGCCUUUUGUUGAGGAAGGGUAGAUGUCUACCCAAAUGGAAUAUUGAGUAUCAGAGACUUCAAAUGAUAACUUUUGUUUGUUUGGAGAAAAUCUUGAGGACGUGAUCACUGUACAAAAGCAUGGCAAAAUGAGGAAACCACUGACAGGUGAAGAAUUUGCACAAUGGAAAACCACCUUGACCAUCUCAUGACUUUAUACAGGAAUCGGAGACAUCCAAGGCCAUUCCAUUUCUAAAUCACACUUAUCCCUCAAUCAAGUCAGUGACUGGAUCAUCUCCUAAGGUUUCACCUGCUUUGCAUCAGUGAGUUGGACUAUGGAUCAGGUACUGUGCUCAGCAUCAGAAAAUGGGAUGACAAUGAACAGAGUAACAGGACUAUAUUUCUGAAAAAGGAUGAACUUACUGGAAACAGGAUUGCGUGCCUGAAAUAUAUCCAAAUGGAUAUAAAUGUCAACUCAGUUCUGGGCUGGAGAUAUAGAUUUGGAAUGCACCAACAAUGCAGAUGGUAAUCCUGGCAUGCGAGUAGGUGAGAUCAUCCAGGGAGAUGGCCUAUAAUGAGAGCCUACAACAUGUCAGGGCUCAAGCACCUCUUACUGCCUCCUCACUCUGGAACCAAAUGCCUUACUUGACAGGAUCACAGAAUGUGAAUUUUGAACAGAUCUGAAAAGUUAUUAAGUUCAACUCCACAGAGGUUCCUAGGAGAAUGUUAACAGUCCAGACCUUUUUCACUACAUCAACCACGGAUGAUUGGCAUAUAAAAUCCUACUUAACCUUUACAUAACUGCAAUACCAGGAAACAAAUAUGUCAAUAAAAGGAAACAUCAUUCAA